GAUGAACGCUGGCGGCGUGCUUAACACAUGCAAGUCGAACGGAAAGGCUCCUGCUUGCAGGGGUACUCGAGUGGCGAACGGGUGAGUAACACGUGGGUGAUCUGCCCUGCACUUCGGGAUAAGCUUGGGAAACUGGGUCUAAUACCGGAUAGGACCACAUUUUGGAUGGUGUGGUGGAAAGUUUUUCGGUGUGGGAUGAGCUCGCGGCCUAUCAGCUUGUUGGUGGGGUAAUGGCCUACCAAGGCGUCGACGGGUAGCCGGCCUGAGAGGGUGUACGGCCACAUUGGGACUGAGAUACGGCCCAGACUCCUACGGGAGGCAGCAGUGGGGAAUAUUGCACAAUGGGCGCAAGCCUGAUGCAGCGACGCCGCGUGGGGGAUGACGGCCUUCGGGUUGUAAACUCCUUUCGCUAGGGACGAAGCGCAAGUGACGGUACCUGGAGAAGAAGCACCGGCUAACUACGUG
rnacentral:rRNA from 1 species